CUUAUCCCGAUGCCCACUAGCCCCUCCUUCACUGCCACCUGCCCAGCUCUGAACAGCACUUAAUGGAGCCUCCCCCAGCCCCACCAUGCACCUAAAAUACAGAACAAGGUUAAUGGGUACCGGGGAUGUGAAGGUCUCCCUCCUGCAUGUUCUGAUGCUCAGUGUAAUCUACCACAUUCUCCUCUCUGCACUCAUCUCUCUCUGACACGAGGAGGAAGAAAAGAGCACAUGAUUCAACACUGACCCAGUUCUUGGGGGAGGUGUGGAGAAAGCCUGAGGACAGAGACACAGAACAACAGCAAGCACGGCUGCUUUCCACCUCCGCUGAUUUCUGAAGGCAUGCAGCACUCGCUGAGUGGACAAACCGACACGCUUGGUGCCUGCCAGAAACUGCAACUGACCCCAGGCACAUGGGCCUGGAGCUACCUAGCAACCUAGGUAAAGCUCCCUAAACACCAAGAGAGGCAGACUUUAUAGCUCUACUGUGUAUUGGAUUCCUACAUGCAAGAGAUUCUGCAGCAAAGACAGCAGAUGAAAACCCUAGCCUGCCUGAAGCUUACAUUAUGGUUAAGUAGGGAACUGGUUACAGGUGAUGGAAAUUCUGGGAAGCCACCCUGGAAAAGGGAAGCAAUCAAACAUUAACAAAAACAGGAAGCAGCUAACAGCCUUGGGCUAGACGGACAGCAGAGGAGGCAGCAGGAGGUGACAGUGCCAGAAAUUAGAAUCUGGAGCCAACUAGAACUACAACCAGAGUGAGGCUGUCUGGAGUGACAUGGGACCGUGAAAGGAGGGGAGCUGGGGCCAUGAAGAAGAUGCUGUCAGAGAUCCCCAGGUAGGGAGAAGGGUGGACAGAAAUACCCUGGCUUCUCCCUCCUCCCGCUCACCAGUCUCCAGUCAGACCCUUCCUGCCUGGAAGCCCAAGGACAAGGCACUGAGAGAAGCAGUUCCCUGCACACAGCACUGAGGGGGCGGGGGGGGACAAGGAAAGAGUCAGGAGCAAACCCAGAGGCACGAGAAGUGGCAUCUGUUCUGAGCCAAAGCCCCCAGAAUGACUGGAACUCAGGAUGUAUAAGGUGAGGUGGAUUCAGAAAAUUGUGAGUUUAGAGAAGUAAGGUAGACUGAGGCCAGAUCCCAUCAGCACAUUCUCUGCCAGGACCUACAUUAGAGCAAAAUAAUGCCAGAUUUACGCAAUGCUGGGCUUCCAAGGACUUUCUUCAGACAAUUCAGCAUAAACACCUCUGAACAUCUUUGGAGAAAAUCCAAAAAUCUGGCCUUCCAGAAACAUUUGCUGCUAGACUUCUUACCCCUAACGCGAUGAAGAGUGAAAUGAGAACAGUCAAGAUCCUCAUGGCUCUCCAGAGACUGUCCUCAGCCCGUGGCUAUGGGCACCGAGCUACCUGCCAGGAGCAAGGAUAAAAUGGAACACCUUGGUAAUCCAGAUGCAACAACAGCAGGGAGCAGCUGCUCCCCUCUGGGCUGCGGACAGGAAGACAAGAGGCUGGAGUGAUCAGAACCUCAGAGCUCAAAGGAGCGGGCCCUGCCCAGCUGGGAUUCAGACCACGGAGGGGACGCUGCCUGAAUGGGGCUGGGACAUCUGGGAGACGGAAUGAAGCUGGUCUGGGGACGCAGAAAAGCUGGAGGAUGCAACCGGCCACCACAGUCAGGGCUUUUGGGGGGGUACCAAAGGGAACAAUCGCCCAGAGCACGGAGAAAGGGCCUUGGGCGCCCUCCAGUCCGGGGCUUCCCCGCCCCGCGCGGUCAGACCGAACCCGGAGCCCCAGGCCAUGGGCAAGGCCGCGGCGCAGCGGCGGAGCAGGGCCAGCCGGCGGACGGGGGCUCGGGAGGGCGACCACGCCCAGGACGAACGUCCCGAGGAACAAGGGGAGCAUCACCCAUGACGUUACCGUCACACACUACCUGCCCAACGAGGAAAUUCAAACUGCUUACGGGAAAUCUGCUUGAGAGUAAGAAACAAAAUACGGCGGCCGGAGGCGGAACUAACUCCUGUUCUCAGAGGGCGGCGCCUGCUUCCAGACGAAUCUUCCCGGGACGCCGACUGCUUCAUCUCCGCAAGCCCUCGGACGUCGGGUAUGGGUGGCGCCCGGCUUUGUCCUCUCCUCCUGCGGCCCGCCCGCCUGCUCUCUGCUUGGGGUCGAAUGACCCCAGGGGAAGGCGGGUGGAAGGAUGCGAGGUGCGCAGGGUCCAGACCGGGCCGUAAACUCGCCUGUGGGCAAGCCCGUCUCCUCUCCCAGGGUUGGUGGUGAUGUCACAAGAUGGCAGCGUUCGAAUGAGGAGCCGGCGCCUUCCGCUGCCCCCCAACAGUCUGGGCAGGCGCCCCAAGGCCGGGCUUCCUUUAUGUGCAGCCUAAGCCAGACAAGCUAAGGCGGGGGGUACCCAGCAGACGCUCACUAAACGAUGUAAAACAUUUUCAUUAUGAAAUGCAGAGUGGUCAUCUAUGUCACAGGGCUCUUGUGCAGAUGACGUGAGAUAAUGUAAAGAAAGGGUUUAGCCAAGUGUCCUACAAAUGGCAAGCGCCCCAUGCAUAGUGCCCAUUAUGCAUUCAACUACAACUGGACAUGGAG
rnacentral:lncRNA from 1 species